AAAGAACAGUGUUGAGCUCCAUAACCAUGUUGAAGUUGCUUUUAUGCUCAGCCUGCCUUCUUUACCUAUCCAGCCAGAACUGAAAACGAAUGGGGAUUGAAUUGCUUUGCCUGUUCUUUCUAUUUCUGCAAAGAACUAACAAUGUACAAGGAAGUUGUACACUGGAGAGUGUGGUGACGUGUGAAGAUUGUUUGCUUUGUGGACCCCGCUUUGCUUGGUGUUUUCAAGAGAAUUAUACUGACUCCUCUGGGAUUGCUGGAAGGUGUGAUAGUCCAGAAAAUCUUCUGUCAAAAGGAUGUCAGUUGAAUUUCAUUGAAUUUCCCAUUUCUAAAGUAGAAAUUCAUAGAAACAAGCCUCUUAGUGUAGGAAUCCAGAAAAAUAACUCUGACAUCACACAGAUUUCUCCUCAAAAGUUAACCCUUAGAUUGCGACCAGGACAUGAAGAAACAAUACAGAUCAAAGUUCGCCAGACUGAAGAUUAUCCAGUUGAUCUCUAUUACCUCAUGGACCUUUCAGCUUCCAUGGAUGAUGAUUUGAACACUAUAAAGGAAUUAGGUUCAACCCUUUCCAAAGAAAUGUCAAAACUGACAAGUAACUUCAGACUGGGCUUUGGGUCUUUUGUUGAAAAACCAGUUUCACCAUUCAUCAAAGCCACUACUGAAGAAAUAAAAAAUCCUUGCAGGAGUGUUCCACGUGAUUGUUUACCCACCUUUGGAUACAAACAUGUUUUGCCAUUAACAAGUAAUGCCCAAAGAUUCAAUGAAAUUGUGAAAGAACAGAAAAUCUCUGCUAAUAUAGAUGCUCCAGAGGGAGGUUUUGAUGCAGUUAUGCAGGCAGCUGUUUGCAAGGAGCAAAUUGGGUGGAGGAAUGACUCUUUACAUCUACUAGUUUUUGUGAGUGAUGCUGAUUCCCAUUUUGGAAUGGACAGUAAACUGGCUGGAAUUGUUAUUCCAAAUGAUGGAAAUUGUCACUUGGACCACAACAAUGAAUACUCCAUGUCAACAGUUUUGGAGUAUCCAACAAUUGGACAACUUAUAGACAAGCUUGUGCAAAACAACGUCUUAUUAGUUUUUGCUGUAACCAAGGACCAAGUUCCCUUAUAUGAGAACUAUGCAAACCUUAUUCCUGGAGCUACUGUUGGACAACUUAAGGAAGAUUCUGGCAAUAUUCUCCAGUUGAUCAUUGGUGCAUAUAAGGAGCUACGAUCUGAAGUGGAGCUGGAGGCAUUUGGUGACACAGAAGGACUCAAUCUCUCUUUUGCAGCUCUCUGUAACAAUGGUACCACUUUUUCAAACCAGAGGAAAUGUUCUCAUAUAAAAGUAGGGGAGACAGUCUCCUUCAAUAUGACUGUGAGUCUACCUACCUGUGAGAAAAAUAGGAGACAUAUUGUAAUAAAGCCGGUGGGUCUGAGUGAUGCCUUGGAAAUUGAUAUUCAUCCAGAAUGCAGCUGUAACUGUCAGCAGGAGGCUGAGAUGAACAGUUCCAAAUGCAGUGAAGGGAAGGGUUCUUAUGAGUGUGGGAUGUGCGUCUGCAACCCUGGCUACAUGGGUCCUCACUGUGAAUGUGAUGAAAACUCCCUGAGCACAAGCUUGUGCAAAGGCUCUCCAGAGCAAGCCUCCUGCAGCGGGAGAGGUGACUGCUACUGCGGGCAGUGUAUUUGUCACCUCUCAAUGUAUGGAAAUAUUUAUGGGCCGUACUGUGAAUGUGAUGAUUUCUCUUGUGUGAGAUUUAAAGGACUGCAAUGUGGAGGCAAUGGUGACUGUGACUGUGGUGAAUGUAGAUGCCACAGUGGAUGGACUGGUGAAUACUGUAACUGCACAACUAACACUGACUCCUGUGUUUCUGAGGAUGGUAUUCUGUGCAGUGGAAGAGGUGAAUGUAGUUGUGGAACAUGUGUUUGCACACAUCCUGGGACCUCUGGUAACACAUGUGACAAGUGUCCUAUGUGUGGUGACCUUUGCAGUUCCAAACGGAUCUGCAUUGAAUGUUAUUUGGCUUCUGAUGAACAGUUACAAGGAGAAUGUAGUGAAAAAUGUAAAUUGGUUGAUGCAACUGUCAGUACUGCAGAAGAGUUCUCAAAGGAUAAAUCCAUUCCCUGUGCUAUACAAGGUGAAAAUGAAUGUGUUACUACAUUUCUAAUGACCAUGGAUGAACAGGGAAAGACAAUCAUUCAUAGCAUAAAGCAGAAAGAUUGCCCACAACCUCCAAAUAUUCCCAUGAUAAUGUUGGGUGUUUCCCUGGCUAUCCUUCUAAUUGGCAUUGUUCUACUUUGUAUAUGGAAAUUGCUAGUGUCAUUUCAAGACCGAAAAGAGGUUGCCAAGUUUGAAGAAGAAAGAUCGAAAGCCAAAUGGCAAACGAUAUAAUAGUCUUCACUUCUUGUCUGAAGCUGUGUGUUGGAGUUGCUCAUUCCGGUUCUCUAAUGGGCACUACCAGAGCCCUGGAUACUCCCAAACGUGGAGGUUCUGGAUGUGCGCUGCCCCCACGUUCAGCCAUGUUUACAUUAUGGUCAUAGAGAACGGCACGAGCUGUGAAUUUGGUUCCACAGUUAAGACAUAUCUCUUAGACAGGGAACAAAUCCACUGUACAGAGGCUCAACAACAACAUUUAAAAAUGUAACCUACAAGCAGCAAGAAAAGCAAAAAGUGGAUGUUGCUGCAGAUUUCUCCUAGCACUUCAGACACUGAAAAAUUAGUUUUACUGACAGUAAAUAUGCAAGCACUAUUUCAUUUUUAUUUCAUUCUACCUGAUGAUGUGGACAUUUCUUAGCAAUGCAUUCAUAGUGACAUAGUAAUUCAGCUAAGGCAAGUGUAGUCUGCCAUCGUUGGGGAUACUUCUGUAAUUGCUAUAGUGUUGAAAAUUAAAAAGACAAAUAUAAAGACACAUUUUUAACAUGAGGGUCAAAAAUAAAUCUUUAAAAAAUGCACCAAGGUCUGUAAUUUGCUCCACAAGAAACAGGAUAAAAACAAUCAGUCUUAGUAAGCUGAUUUUUCUGUGAGUCUAACUUCUUUUUAUGAUGAAUUUUAUUCCAUUAUGUCCACUGUAUCAAUACUACAUAUAUAUGGUACAUACAAUCUGUCCACUCUGUUGGCUUCCAUAAAAUGAAAGACUGGAAUUUAUAAAUGAUAGGAUUAUAAUGCCCAUUUUAGCUAUGGGUCAGGAGUUCUUGAUACCAGACUGUGGGACUGAAUUUUUUUCACCAGAAACAACUGGAUUGAUAGGCUAGUUUGCAUAAAUCCAAAUUUUAAAAAAUUUUCCUCAUCCUCUUUGACUUUACAUCUUUCUUUGCCUCUUCCUCUUCCUUCACAUUAGGUACUUCUACCAUUUAUAACCUACUUAGACACUCAAAAUAAGCCUAUAUAGUGUAUAAGCCUAUCUGUAAACCCUCAGCACACAAGAGAAUCCCAUUCAUGCAGCACAGAUGCGGUGUCAUGCCCACAGGUAUAAGUACUGUGAUAGUCCUACCUCAGAAGAUGAGAUAUUUCAGUCCCAUAGUGGCCUAGUAUUUUACCUUACUGUUUGACUUGUUCCAGUGCAAGAUCACAGAUUUAGCUCAUUUUGUCAGUUUCAGGAUAAAUGCCUAAUAAUUAUUAAUCCCACUUGAUAUUCACUUCAGUGACAUUAAUGAGGAUUUUAAAAAUUCAACUUAAACUGCAGUUAUUAACUACUUGCCAUAAAUCCUUAGUCAGAAAUGCUGAUGGUAUACACAGUGCUAAAAAAAUGGCUGAUCUGAUGGCUUAUAAAAUGAGUCAAGAUUUUUUGUUUAACUGAAAUUUCUGUAUUUACCUUGAUAAUGAUUUCCUCUGAAAAAUGGUUACCUUCUGGAAUCCACAGCGCACUUUCAGAAUGCUGAUUUAUUUUACAACAGAUAUGUAUUCAGUCUGAAAACAUAUAUUCAAAAAACCCUUCUAAUAUACUGAACAGCUGUGCAGGUUCCCUAAGGUAUAUCAAGCUUUUGGUUGCAGACUGACCAUUUUCAAAUAAAUAUUUAUUCCUAAAGAUGGAGCAAAUUCAGUCUUCUUUGCCUAUUGCUGCACUGGGAUGGAGUAAGAGUACUAUCUCAGAUAGCUGUGACCCAAACCUCUUUUUAGGAGCUGAGCCAAAGUUCAUGGAAGUCAGUUAGUAUGGAUGAGCCUCUGAGUUUAUUUACUUAUAAACUUAUACAUAUGUAAUAUAAAAAAGGAGGGCUGUUGAGGUUAUUUCAAUUUGAAUUUCAUAACUCUUUGUCAGCAGCUUUGAUCAAAUUGAUCUGAUCAAAUUGUUGUACUUUAGUACCCAGACUUUAGACAAAAUAAUGUUUUAGAAGAGUGUGGCUUUGAAGAUUGCAGCACAUGUACUUCACUCCAGUUGUUAAAAUCCCCAUUCCUUCUCCCUCAAAUAAUUACAAGGAAACUAUUGGUAAUGACCUCUUUCUGUGUGAUUAAACAGGCUGGUUAACAUUGUGCAACACUGGACUAGGCUCUACAAUAGAUAAUUGUGUAAGAAGGCACAUAGUUAAAAUCAAAUGCCUGUGGAAUGAAGAUGAGAUAAUAUAAUGAUUUAAAAAAUCUAAAAUGACUGUAGAGUAAACAUGUAAAUUUAGUUACUGGAACUAGAAAGUUAAUUAAUUAUGUGUACUCUUCCAUACUUUUACAUACCUUGUAGAAGUAUGGGUCUACAGUCAUUUAACUCCUCUCAGGGUCAGGGGAAUUUACACAGAACACCAAAUCCUACUUCCUUAACCAUGUAAAUAGUCCCAAUAGGCACAUCUACACAUUUGCUUUAAUGUGCAUUAACCUAUUUUAAUGUGCAUUAAAGCAUCUCUAAAAACCAUGCUAUUUGGUUAAUGUGCAUUAAGACAGGCUAAUGCACAUUUUUCUAGUACCUCACAGGCAUGUCAGCAUGUGUAUGUGCUAUAAUUAUAGCACAUUAAGUUUAGUACUUGUGAACACGUUUACACAUUCUCUGGGUACGGGUGGGGGAGACAGCAGCACUUUAAUUACAAUGGUUCUGAGAGCCGCUCUAAUUAAAGCAUCACUGCAUCUCCCAUAUCAACGUCCUGACACUUAAAAAUGGUGGUGGGGGCACGUGAACUAAAGCUAAUACAGAAGUAAUAUCUAUUUGACCUUUACAUUAAUCCUGGCCCUAUUAAAGCCAAU